rnacentral:rRNA from 1 species
CGGGACGGGGUGGAGUAAUGUCUGGGAAACUGCCUGAUGGAGGGGGAUAACUACUGGAAACGGUAGCUAAUACCGCAUAACGUCGCAAGACCAAAGUGGGGGACCGUUCGGGCCUCAUGCCAUAAGAUGUGCCCAGAUGGGAUUAGCUAGUAGGUGGGGUAACGGCUCACCUAGGCGACGAUCCCUAGCCGGUCUGAGAGGAUGACCAGCCACACUGGAACUGAGACACGGUCCAG